GAUGGCGGAAUUAGGGCAGCAGACGGUGGAUUUCUCGGCACUGGUAAGCAGAGCAGCUGAGGAGUCGUAUGUUACGUUGAAGGAAUUGGUGGAGAAGUGCAAGUCGUCUAACUUAUCUGAUUCUGAGAAGAAAAUUGGGAUUCUUAAAUAUGUAGUUAAGACUCAGCAGCGUAUGCUUCGUCUCAAUGUCCUAUCCAAAUGGUGCCAGCAGGUCCCGUUGAUACAAU
rnacentral:misc_RNA from 1 species